GAUGAGCUCAUGCUGAAGCAGGGGAGGAGCAUUACAAGGAAGGAACAGUAGAGGCAAAGUGUUAUGAACUGACCACAACCCCAUUCCACUGUCCUUAUUCCCCUGAAUCAUGUAAGGCAGAAGACAUAGAAACCUCAAGAUUGAAGUUGAGCCUAAGAAGAAGAGGUGGACAGGAGAAGGACAGAUUCAUGUCUGCUGAAAAAAAAAAAGAAAGGAAAGAAAGAAAGAAAGAAAGAAAGAAAGAAAGAAAGAAAGAAAGAAAGAAAGAAAGAAAGAAAGAAAGAAAGAAAGAAAGAAAGAAAGAAAACAAUAAGAUACCAGCUCUGGCUCCACACAGGUGAACAAUGGAAAUUGAAGAAAGACACACUGCAGCGACAACUCUUCUGGCUCCGCUUCAGACAGUUUGGGCUUGAAAGGGCUUGUGGUUGCAUUUAUGCACUGUUAAGUGCCUGAGUCAGAGUUAAUUCUGUGAUCUGAAAUCUGCUACAUCCAAUGGUAGAUAUGACCUCAGACCUCUCUGUUUUGGUUGUUUUUAAGUUUUGCAUACAAUUGUCCUGGUAUUCAUGAUAUUCCUAUCUAAACCACUGAGCACUGGUGGGUUUUUUUUCUUUGUUUGUUUGUUUGUUGUUGUUUGUUUGUUUUGCUUUGCUUUGCUUUGUUUUUUACUAGUUGUCAGAUCUAUACCAGCCUAGACUGCUGAAUGCUCAGAAUCAUUCCCACAAACAAGUCCCAGCAGGAUUAAGAAACCAUGUAUUUUUCUGAGUUAUUCAAUUUUAGAAAUGAAUCAGUGAGCACUUUCAUGUUCCAUACAACAAAACUACUGGAUCAGAAUGCUCAAGAAACAUAUGAUCAGAUUUUAGUCCCCAGGCCAUGUAAAGAAUAAGUCUCUUCCACUUGACGGUGGGACUAGAAAUGUUAGCAUUUAUUUGAAGUACUUGUCUGGUGAUAUUUGCUGACUUAACAUAAGCAAAAAAAUUACUAGAAGAUGACUGCGGAUCGGACCCCAUAACACACAGGCAAGAGUCCAACCUGUAUUGCAGCUGAACUACUUUGUUUACAUGUCUAGUUGUUCCCACUGUGCUGGCACCUAUCUCUGUAAUUUUAAAUCUUUGCACAUGUUGCACCAGAAUUAGGGAUCCGACUGUGCUGUGUUCUGGGAUAUAUUCUCUUGGUGUGUUCACAGUGGAAGAGGCUGUUCAUGCUUCACAGAAGCUAGCAGGAGUUUGUGAGAUGUAUCGGUGACAGUGUCACAGAAUGAUAGAUAGAACCUCAUAAUCAGCAUACUCUUACACAAAAAUCAACUCAGUUUGUCAUAGAUUGUUACGCAGUGGUAUGAUCUUUCCUGGCUCCAAAAGAGGAAAUGACACUAAAGUCUUUUUUUUUUUUUUUUUUUUUUUUUUUUCCUCUGGCUGGUCUUGGCCACCGUUUCCCCCAGGAUGUGCAUGUGAUUACAAUGAGGAUUGCUAACACAUUCUACAGCGAGAGUUUUUAUUUUCUUUAAUCUCAAUAUAGCCCAGCCUCCGUAUCUUCAGAUUGGUGCUCUAACCUCUGCACCAUACACAAAAGAUCAAGUACCACAUGCUCACUGGCCCUUGGAUGAACACUCUGAACUGCUCUUAAGUGAAUAUAUUCUCCCAACAUUUCAGUCUGUUUUCCAGCACUGAAUAAAGAGACCUAAAUCAGAUGGGAUACAUGCUGUAAUACAGCCUUGGGUCUUUGUCAGACCCAGAAAAGUCAGAUUGUGAUGUGUUGUAAUUUAAGAAAGAUCUUAUUCUCAAACAUUUUUACAGUGUCUCGAUUCAUUUUAUCACACACACACACACACACACACAAAAAAAAAAAAAAAAAAAAACCCUGAAAAGUAGUCAACACCUCAACACAUUGCGCUUUACAAUCUGUGAGCAUUCUUUACCACUGUGUCGUUACUGUUAAUGGAAUUUGCUGUUCUUAUGUAAGAAAAUGGUAAUACAUUUGAAGCUAGGUGUUGGUCUUCUCUUCUCUUCUCUUCUCUUCUCUUCUCUUCUCUUCUCUUCUCUUCUCUUCUCUUCUCUUCUCUUCUCUUCUCCCUUUUUCCCUUUCCCCUUCCUUUCCCUUUCCUUUUUUUGUUGACUCAUACCUUUGUUACUGAAAAACAACCUUUUUUCCUCUUCUGUACUUGAAAUGUUUCUGUACUGUUAGUGAAUAAUUAGUGUUUUCAAAGGACUGAACUUAAAUUUAACUACACUGAUUACAUCUGAUUGAAUGAGGAGUGUGCAACUUAAUCUUUUUAACAUUAAGAACAUGCUUUUUACCCAGUUAGCAUUUCAGUGAAGUAUAUUUUCGAACAACUUUGUGACAAUCUCUGUAAAUCCUAGCAACCAGUUCUUAGUUAAGCAGAUGCUUUCUCAAUAGGUUCUUUAAAUCUUCCAUAAACUUUUUAUGUUCCUCUUCCAUGGGUUUUCAUAUUUUUAAAGUUGAGAAAUACUGGUACACAUUUCUCACCUGCUUAGCAUUCAUUUCUGUUUCAUAAUCCCUUUACAAACAACAGGUUUAUUGAUUAUAAAACCUCCUGCAAGACAUUCUUGCCAGUGUGGGUCUUUCUUAUGAAAGCAGGAAGGAAAAAAAAAAAAAAAA
ensembl:lncRNA